UGAGGAAUAUUGGUCAAUGGGCGAGAGCCUGAACCAGCCAAGUAGCGUGAAGGAUGACUGCCCUAUGGGUUGUAAACUUCUUUUAUAAAGGAAUAAAGUCGGGGUAUGGAUACCCGUUUGCAUGUACUUUAUGAAUAAGGAUCGGCUAACUCCGUGCC
rnacentral:rRNA from 1 species